GAUGAACGCUGGCGGCGUGCCUAAUACAUGCAAGUCGAGCGAACAGAUGAGGAGCUUGCUCCUCUGACGUUAGCGGCGGACGGGUGAGUAACACGUGGAUAACCUACCUAUAAGACUGGGAUAACUUCGGGAAACCGGAGCUAAUACCGGAUAAUAUAUUGAACCGCAUGGUUCAAUAGUGAAAGACGGUUUUGCUGUCACUUAUAGAUGGAUCCGCGCCGCAUUAGCUAGUUGGUAAGGUAACGGCUUACCAAGGCAACGAUGCGUAGCCGACCUGAGAGGGUGAUCGGCCACACUGGAACUGAGACACGGUCCAGACUCCUACGGGAGGCAGCAGUAGGGAAUCUUCCGCAAAGGGCGAAAGCCUGACGGAGCAACGUCGCGUGAGUGAUGAAGGUCUUCGGAUCGUAAAACUCUGUUAUUAGGGAAGAACAAAUGUGUAAGUAACUAUGCACGUCUUGACGGUACCUAAUCAGAAAGCCACGGCUAACUACGUG
rnacentral:rRNA from 1 species